rnacentral:misc_RNA from 1 species
GUAAAUUCAUCUCUUUACCGGCAACACCCCCGUCGGUGUUCCUUUUACGGUAGAACUUUGAAAUAUUCCAAAGAAUUAUACCUUUUCGCCGACUACCCUUACUUCUCCUCAUACACUUGACUGUAGAGUUGCGAUCCGUUUUUCAGCUACUAUUCUUUUGAGUCUUUGACUGACUGAACCUUCAGAAAAUGGCGUCAACGGAGGGGCUGAUGCCAAUAACCAGAGCUUUCUUGUCUUCUUAUUAUGAUAAAUACCCAUUUUCCCCUCUUUCUCAAGAUGUAUCGCGUCUUACUGAUGAAAUUCAUUCCAUGGCUAAGAAUCUGCAGAAAGAUGCUCCUUUAACAGAAGGAGAAAGUUCAUUAGUCCUUGAAGCGGAGAGUCACCCUCCUCACAAAGUUGACGAGAAUUUGUGGAAGAACCGAGAACAACUUGAAGAAAUACUUUUCCUAUUGGAAAGCUCCAAUUGGCCACCAGCGCUUCAAUUGCAGUCAACCACUGAAGAUGUUGAACUUGUUUCUGUCCUUGAACGGCUCGGAGAAAAAUUCCGAAGUACAUUGAAGAGUUUGCAAACUUUCCAGUCAAAGAAUUCUGAGUUCGUCUUCAACACUGUGAUGACCUACAUGCCACAAGAUUUUCGUGGUACACUAAUAAGGCAACAGAGGGAGCGUUCUGAGAGAAAUAAGCAGGCCGAAGUUGAUGCUCUAAUCAAUUCUGGUGGAAGUAUUCGUGAUCGAUAUGCUCUGCUAUGGAAUCAACAAAUGGAACGGAGACGGCAACUGGCUCAACUGGGUUCUGCUACAGGUGUCUAUAAGACACUGGUGAAGUAUUUAGUUGGAGUGCCACAGGUUCUGUUGGAUUUUGUUCAGAAAAUAAACGACGAUGAUGGGCCAAUGGAAGAGCAGCGACAACGUUAUGGUCCACCUUUGUACAGCCUCACAAAAAUGGUGCUCAACAUUCGGCUUUUUCUUUCUCUGCUUUGGCGACGUUUUGAAGCUGGAAAACUGUCAAGGAGUCAAAUUACGGUCUUGGAAGAAGCAGUAGAUAUCUACACAUCCGAGUUUCAAAGAUUCAUCACAUUCAUUCGAGACGUAUUUGCAAAUUCCCCUUUCUUUAUUACUGCAGAAGAAGCUGGUACAUUAGAAGCCAGAAAAAGUGAUGAGUACAAGGAAGUGAGUGUUCCAGCAGGAAAAAGUCAUGAGGUAUCAUUGACAGUCGAUGCCAUAAAUUCAUACAUUGCGUGGGAUUUCUCUUUGGUUCAAGGCAGAGUAGAUAUGGACAUAGGCUUUAGCAUGGAGUAUACGGAUCCUUCCGGACAGAAGACGCAAAUCUUACCUUAUCGACGAUAUGGAGCUGACCAAGGGAACUUCUGUACGUGCCUGUCUGGAAACUACAAACUCAUAUGGGAUAAUUCUUAUUCGACAUUUUUCAAGAAGGUCUUGCGAUUCAAGGUGGACUGUAU